rnacentral:lncRNA from 1 species
CAGAGAUUUGGCCAUCGAUUUGAGCUGAAAUAGCUGUGUUGAGGGUUUCUGCGGAGAGAAUCGGAAACCCUAAAAGGAAGCCGCGUAAAUGUAAACUGCGGGUGUGAAAAAAGGGGGAAAACAUUAAGUAUACAUGUACACACAAAUGCAAAUGUAAUUAAAAUAUAAAUUUAUAAUUAUAAUAAUUUUGAAUUUAAGAAAUUUAAUACAAUCCACAAUUUAAAUAUUAAUACAAAUUUCCAUGAGUUUCUUUGUAAGAAGUUUGUAUAUUUUAAUUAAUAAAAUGAGAUUUGUAUAAUAAUAGCAAAAUCAAUAAAAAUUACGAGUAUGUAAAAUUUCUUACCAAUGACUACUACCUCGGAAUUUGAUGAAGUAAGCUCAUUAGGAUUUGCACAAGUAAAUUUGUAACCAUGCACUCGCAUGUUUUAUAAGAUUCAACUUUAAACAUAGAACCUCUAAUUAAAUCCAUAAAUUUCUCCCUGAGCUCUUCAUCAUCUUCUAUCUAAAUAUUAUAUAUAAUCACAAAACAAAUAAGUAUGUGAAUAAAAUCGAAGUUACAUAAUUUUUGAAUAAAAAUAAAAUACGUACCCUUCUUUUGAACAAAUCUAUAAAUUGCUCCUUUUGAAUUUGAUCUCUUUGAGCAUCUUUAUAGUCGGGUAAUUUUUUUGCACAAGCCUAUGAAAUCCCCUGCAUAUUUAAAAAAAAUUGAUAAGGUGAAUAAUUUGAUUUGAUCAUCUAUGUUUGUCAAAAUUGUUAAAAUAAACAAACAUCUCACCGCAAAUAUUUUCCCACUUCCAGUGAAUUAAUAAGAACAUAGUAUCUUACAAGACUAUGUUCAUCAUCACACAAGAUUCCAUCUCUAUUCCGUAGACCUGUUAGCGUUGGAUAGGUGUAAACUUCUAACAAAUUAGGAUCAUGAGAUUGUCGAGGUGCCUCAUUUCGCCGAAGUGUAUUAUGCACAGUUGCCAAAUUAGAUUCAAAAUCUCCUCCUCAAUAUAUCUUUCUGCUAUUGAACCCUCUACUCGAGCUUUGUUUUUGACUUUUAACUUCAAGUUAUG